rnacentral:lncRNA from 1 species
UGGAUAUUGAACUUUUUUCCUGUAACACUACCCAAAUGUUGAAUAGGUCUUGUAUUUUAGGUGUUGUUGUUGGAUAGUCUAACUCAUCAUAUAUAGACGCAAUAUGCAAUAAUUGUUUUUUUGUAAAACAUCAUCCCCCCACCUAGAUAGGCCACGACAUUUACCUUAAUGAUCCUAAAAAUUACUACAGCAAUCACCCUACCCCACCCAAAAAAGAGCCUAAUAUAAUUUGUUGGAAAUGGCAUAUACAUCACUAGAAAGUGAUUUUAGGAGACACGCUCUCCGAUCACAUUAACAGAGGUGGGUAUAUCUUUUUGGGCAUUGACUCUAAAAAUAACGCUCCAAGCAAAUAACUGCCUCGAUCUUUAAUCAUUUACAG